rnacentral:rRNA from 1 species
GCCAGCAGCCAUAUCACCCUGCAACUCCCAGUUGGCAGCCCCCACUGGAGCCCAGCAGGUGUGAGCCUGGCCAGUACCUGGAGGGGAAACUCCUGGGAAAGCUGAGGCUGCUGCUGGGA